rnacentral:rRNA from 1 species
GACGAACGCUGGCGGCGUGCCUAAUACAUGCAAGUAGAACGCAGUUGCGAACGGGUGAGUAACGCGUAGGUAACUGCCUCAUAGCGGGGGAUAACUAUUUGAAACGAUAGCUAAUACCGCGUACUGUGAGCUGGACCUGCGUUGUAUUAGGUAGUUGGUGAGGUAAAGGCGCACCACGGCGACGAUACAUAGCCGACCUGAGAGGGUGUGCGGCCACACUGGGACUGAGAGACGGCCCAGACUCCCACGGGAGGCAGCAGUAGGGAAUCGUCGGCAAUGGACGGAAGUCUGACCGAGCAACGCCGCGGGAGGGAGGAAGGUUUUCGGAUCGUAAAGCUCUGUUGUCAGAGAAGCGGUAACUAGCCAGAAAGGGACGGCUAACUACGUGCCAGCAGCCGCGGUAAUAC